rnacentral:lncRNA from 1 species
CCGGGGGGGCAGUUCCCUCCUUCCCUGUCAGUUUCAGGCAGCUGCGCGCGUCGCUCGGGGGGGGGCGGUGGUGGUGGUUGAGUCUGCCCGCCUUGGGCGGCAACGUGCGCGCCGAGGAGGAACGAUGCCUCCCCCACCGCCAUGAAGGAAGCCCGCGCGGGUCAGUGAAUUGGCGGGGAUUGUUGAGGAGUCGAGCUGGAGAUGAGGAGGCGGCGGAAGGAGAGGAAAAGACGGCAGGAUUGCAUCCCGCCUUUCGCUUUGUUUAUUUAUUUAUUGCUUCUCCUGAGCGUGGAGGUAUGUUUUGUGCCGGGUAAAAAAAGGGACGAACCGUCUCACUUUGAAAAGCACGGCAGCGGGGUUCACAGCGAGGCCCUCGAAACGUUUCCUCAGGGUCCCGCGGUAGGUUUUUAAUGUUGUAGAAGUCGGGACUCGAUUUGAGGUCUGCGCUCCUCAAAUGGCACCCCCAAAAUUUGCAGGGACCAAAUCGGAUGCGUUUCUCUUCCGUUGCAACAUGCUUCAUGCCUUCGCCCAAACUACGUGCAUAAUGUGUAGGAGGUCUCGGCCUUAGAGUCGCCACCCGUUAAUAAGCAUUUCAUCAGCACAAGCAAGCACAAGCAUGGUAAAUGCUUAUGCGCCCGUUAAUUAGUGAAUAAGCAGAAGCAUUUUUGGGAAAAAAAAAAUCUUUUUCCUGGUGUAUAUCUGGUAAUUUGAUAUAUAUUUACCAUGCUAAGUUUUGAAUUGCUGGGGAUUGUUUAUAGUAGGCGUUUUCGCUUUAGUUUGCACUGUAGAGCCUAUUAUAUGUAACGAAUUGGAUGAAGUGCGAUGGCUAUGAAAGAAAUUGCAUAUUUACAUCCCAAUAGAAUAUUAUAUUAGACCAACUCUAAAUUUGCAAAAAUAUGCAAGAUCUCAAAAUGUGUUCAGGUUUUUAUGAUGAAUGGUAGGCUAAAUAGAAGUGUAGUUUUAGCAUGGAGUUUGAAAUACUAGUAUUUUUGUUUCCGGAAGGGAACUAAUAGUUGUACAGUAUAACACUUACAAUUUUAAGCUGUGUGUAGUUUUAAUAUUUCAGGCACAAAUUGUAUGUACUUCAUCUUUACAAUACUGAGAUUAUGUUACUGAAUUACUUUAUAGUACUGCAGU